rnacentral:rRNA from 1 species
GGGUUUUACUGGUUUUGGAUGGGCUCACGGCCUAUCAGCUUGUUGGUGGGGUAAUGGCUCACCAAGGCGACGACGGGUAGCCGGCCUGAGAGGGUGACCGGCCACACUGGGACUGAGACACGGCCCAGACUCCUACGGGAGGCAGCAGUGGGGAAUAUUGCACAAUGGGCGAAAGCCUGAUGCAGCGACGCCGCGUGAGGGAUGACGGCCUUCGGGUUGUAAACCUCUUUCAGUAGGGAAGAAGCGCAAGUGACGGUACCUGCAGAAGAAGCGCCGGCUAACUACGUGCCAGCAGCCGCGGUAAUACGUAGGGCGCAAGCGUUGUCCGGAAUUAUUGGGCGUAAAGAGCUCGUAGGCGGUUUGUCGCGUCUGCUGUGAAAGCCCGGGGCUCAACCCCGGGUCUGCAGUGGGUACGGGCAGACUAGAGUGCAGUAGGGGAGACUGGAAUUCCUGGUGUAGCGGUGAAAUGCGCAGAUAUCAGGAGGAACACCGAUGGCGAAGGCAGGUCUCUGGGCUGUUACUGACGCUGAGGAGCGAAAGCAUGGGGAGCGAACAGGAUUAGAUACCCUGGUAGUCCAUGCCGUAAACGUUGGGCACUAGGUGUGGGGGACAUUCCACGUUUUCCGCGCCGUAGCUAACGCAUUAAGUGCCCCGCCUGGGGAGUACGGCCGCAAGGCUAAAACUCAAAGGAAUUGACGGGGGCCCGCACAAGCGGCGGAGCAUGCGGAUUAAUUCGAUGCAACGCGAAGAACCUUACCAAGGCUUGACAUUCACCGGACCGCCCCAGAGAUGGGGUUUCCCUUCGGGGUCGGUGGACAGGUGGUGCAUGGUUGUCGUCAGCUCGUGUCGUGAGAUGUUGGGUUAAGUCCCGCAACGAGCGCAACCCUCGUUCUAUGUUGCCAGCACGUGAUGGUGGGGACUCAUAGGAGACUGCCGGGGUCAACUCGGAGGAAGGUGGGGAUGACGUCAAAUCAUCAUGCCCCUUAUGUCUUGGGCUUCACGCAUGCUACAAUGGCCGGUACAAAGGGUUGCGAUACUGUGAGGUGGAGCUAAUCCCAAAAAGCCGGUCUCAGUUCGGAUUGAGGUCUGCAACUCGACCUCAUGAAGUCGGAGUCGCUAGUAAUCGCAGAUCAGCAACGCUGCGGUGA